rnacentral:rRNA from 1 species
AACGAACGCUGGCGGCAUGCCUAACACAUGCAAGUCGAACGAGACCUUCGGGUCUAGUGGCGCACGGGUGCGUAACGCGUGGGAAUCUGCCCUUGGGUUCGGAAUAACUCGCCGAAAGGCGUGCUAAUACCGGAUGAUGCCGUAAGACCAAAGAUUUAUCGCCCAGGGAUGAGCCCGCGUAAGAUUAGGUAGUUGGUGAGGUAAAGGCUCACCAAGCCGACGAUACAUAGCCGACCUGAGAGGGUGAUCGGCCACACUGGGACUGAGACACGGCCCAG